rnacentral:rRNA from 1 species
UACGUAGGGUGCAAGCGUUAAUCGGAAUUACUGGGCGUAAAGCGCACGUAGGCGGCGAUGACAGUCAGAUGUGAAAGGCCUGGGCUCAACCCGGGAAUUGCAUUUGAUACUGCAUUGCUAGAGUCCAAGAGAGGGUAGUGGAAUUCCCAGUGUAGAGGUGAAAUUCGUAGAUAUUGGGAAGAACACCAGUGGCGAAGGCGGCUACCUGGCUUGGUACUGACGCUCAGGUGCGAAAGCGUGGGGGAGCGAACAGG